rnacentral:misc_RNA from 1 species
AGCAGCCGCGGUAAUUCCAGCUCCAAUAGCGUAUAUUAAAGUUGUUGCAGUUAAAAAGCUCGUAGUUGAAUUUCGGGAUCAAUACGUCGGUCGUGCUUCGGUACGUACUGGUGUCAUUGAUUUCUCCCUUCUGACGAACCAUGAUGUCAUUAACUUGGUGUCAUGGGAAAUCAGGACUGUUACUUUGAAAAAAUUAGAGUGUUUAAAGCAGGCUCACGCUUGAAUACAUUAGCAUGGAAUAAUGAAAUAGGACGUUCGAUCCUAUUUUGUUGGUUUCUAGGAUCAACGUAAUGAUUAAUAGGGAUAGUUGGGGGCAUUAGUAUUCAAUUGUCAGAGGUGAAAUUCUUGGAUUUAUUGAAGACUAACUACUGCGAAAGCAUUGCCAAGGAUGUUUUCAUUAAUCAAUGAACGAAGUUAGGGGUAUCGAAGACGAUCAGGAUACCGUCGUAGUCUUAACCAUAAACUAUGCCGACUAGGGAUCGGAUGAUGUUGAAUUAUUUAAUGACUCAUUCGGCGCCUU